CCUACGGGUGGCUGCAGUAGGGAAUAUUGCGCAAUGGGGGAAACCCUGACGCAGCGACGCCGCGUGAGUGAUGAAGGCCUUCGGGUCGUAAAGCUCUGUCGUAUGGGAAUAACAUAAUGACUGUACCAUGCAAGAAAGGAUCGGCUAACUUCGUGCCAGCAGCCGCGGUAAGACGAGGGAUCCUAGCGUUGUUCGGAAUCAUUGGGCGUAAAGCGGGUGUAGGCGGGCUUUUAAGUCAGAUGUGAAAUCCCAGGGCUCAACCCUGGAAGUGCAUUUGAUACUGGAAGUCUUGAGUGUGGUAGAGGCUAGUAGAAUUCCUGGUGUAGUGGUGAAAUACGUAGAUAGCAGGAGGAAUACCGGAGGCGAAGGCGGAUAGCUGGGCCAACACUGACGCUGAGACCCGAAAGCGUGGGGAUCAAACAGGAUUAGAUACCCUAGUAGUC
rnacentral:rRNA from 1 species